AGAGCUGUUGUGUCGCUUCCUCAUGCUGACAUAUUUACGAGAGGGUGCAAUUCAUAACCUUCUGGUAAGAGUGGCAGUUGAGGGGUUGGGGAUUUAG
rnacentral:pre_miRNA from 14 species